GGCUUCGUAGCUGAGCUGGUAGAGCGCUUUUCGCAUUUGAGCAUGGUGUUCAUGUCGCUAAUUCGAAUCCAGCCGAAGCCC